rnacentral:rRNA from 1 species
GAUGAACGCUGGCGGCGUGCUUAACACAUGCAAGUCGAACGAUGAAGGGGGAGCUUGCUCCUCUGGAUUAGUGGCGAACGGGUGAGUAACACGUGAGCAAUCUGCCCCUGACUCGGGGAUAAGCGUUGGAAACGACGUCUAAUACCGGAUACGAGCCGAGCAGGCAUCUGCAUCGGUUGGAAAGAACUUCGGUCAGGGAUGAGCUCGCGGCCUAUCAGCUAGUUGGUGAGGUAAUGGCUCACCAAGGCGACGACGGGUAGCCGGCCUGAGAGGGUGACCGGCCACACUGGGACUGAGACACGGCCCAGACUCCUACGGGAGGCAGCAGUGGGGAACAUUGCACAAUGGGCGCAAGCCUGAUGCAGCAACGCCGCGUGAGGGACGACGGCCUUCGGGUUGUAAACCUCUUUUAGCAGGGAAGAAGCGAGAGUGACGGUACCUGCAGAAAAAGCACCGGCUAACUACGUGCCAGCCGCCGCGGUAA